GCAUUGGUGGUUCAGUGGUAGAAUUCUCGCCUUCCAUGCAAGAGACCUGGGUUCGAUUCCCCGCCAAGGCA
rfam:Loxodonta africana unplaced genomic scaffold scaffold_45, whole genome shotgun sequence.